UACAGAGGGGGCGAGCGUUGUUCGGAAUUACUGGGCGUAAAGGGCGCGUAGGCGGCCCGCUAAGUCGAACGUGAAAUCCCCGGGCUCAACCCGGGAACUGCGUCCGAUACUGGAAGGCUUGAAUCCGGGAGAGGGAUGCGGAAUUCCAGGUGUAGCGGUGAAAUGCGUAGAUAUCUGGAGGAACACCGGUGGCGAAGGCGGCAUCCUGGACCGGCAUUGACGCUGAGGCGCGAAAGCCAGGGGAGCAAAGCGGG
rnacentral:rRNA from 1 species